rnacentral:rRNA from 1 species
UCGCUCUCCUAAUCCCACUUACRCCUGUGSACUUUAACUUUGGAGGGAGGGUAAAACCUGCCUUCGAAAUUCACAAAYUCUCGKUUUUAAAUUAUGAAUGUUUAUCUGCCGCAAGGCAAAAUUUAAUACAACUUUUAACAACGGAUCUCUUGGCUCUCGCAUCGAUGAAGAACGCAGCGAAAUGCGAUAAGUAAUGUGAAUUGCAGAAUUCAGUGAAUCAUCGAAUCUUUGAACGCACCUUGCGCUCCCUGGUAUUCCGGGGAGCACGCCUGUUCGAGUGUCAUGAAACUCUCAAACAAAGUAKAUUGGUUUCUACCUCUGUUUGGAUUUGGACUCUGCUGCGUCAAUGCAGCUGGUCUUAAAUAUAUUAGCUGAUCCUAGCGAAGGUUUGGUUCUACUCAGCAUGAUAAUUAUCUGAUGUUGAGGACAGUCUUAGGACUGGCCAGGCUCUCUAUGGAUUGCUUCUAAUCGUCUUUGGGCAAUCAUUCAAUAUCUGACCUCGAAUCAGGUGGGACUACCCGCUGAACUUAA